UACGGAGGGUGCAAGCGUUGUUCGGAAUUAUUGGGCGUAAAGGGCGUGUAGGCGGUUUGGUAAGUCAGAUGUGAAAUCCCUGGGCUUAACUCGGGAAGUGCAUUUGAAACUGCCAUGCUUGAGUAUGGGAGAGGAGAGUGGAAUUCCCAGUGUAGAGGUGAAAUUCGUAGAUAUUGGGAGGAACACCCGUGGCGAAGGCGACUCUCUGGACCAAUACUGACGCUGAUACGCGAAAGUGUGGGGAG
rnacentral:rRNA from 1 species